rnacentral:rRNA from 1 species
GUGCCAGCCGCCGCGGUAAUACGGAGGGUGCAAGCGUUGUUCGGAUUCAUUGGGCGUAAAGCGAGUGUAGGCGGUUUGACAAGUCGGAUGUGAAAUCCCGGGGCCCAACCCCGGAACUGCAUCCGAUACUGUCUGGCUAGAGUCCCGGAGAGGGUGGCGGAAUUCCCGGUGUAGGGGUGAAAUCCGUAGAUAUCGGGAGGAACACCAGUGGCGAAGGCGGCCACCUGGACGGUGACUGACGCUGAGACUCGAAAGCGUGGGUAGCAAACAGGAUUAGAUACCCUCGUAGUCC